AAAUUACAAUAAACCAGAUGCUCCGCAGGGCGUAGCUUUAUACGACCGCAGAGGUUGAACCCUGAACGGUUAGGGCAAGUAUGGACACAACAUUCAAGCUGGAUUCAGCUCUAAAUUUGGAUUGUGAUUAAAUAGUUGACACAGCAUAGGUUUCUGACACAGAAUGAAUGUGUUCUAAUGAACUUAAAAUUUUUGUUUCUCUUAGAGCAAUUCACUAUGCUGUUGAAUAUUAAUCCUCUCAAAAAAAUGUUUGAAGAAAUUUUCUUUUUUAUUUAUGAAAUUUCAAAUGAGAAAAAUUGAACCCAAUUUUUUUAAUCACAUCCCCCUUUCCCUUAUUCCAAAACUAAUCUCAAUUAAAAUUUCUAAUGGAGUUUGCAACAAUAACUACUCAUUUAAAUACAUCAUAAA
rnacentral:lncRNA from 1 species